rnacentral:lncRNA from 1 species
CGGCACAGGUAGUUUAGUUAAACAUAUAAAAUUACACCCUAGCGAUAAGGCUAGAUAUAUCCAAUUGAAAGCGCAACAAGAGGGGAGGACAAGUUCUGAAACAAAAGUUAACCCAAGUACUGGUUCUAAUCUAGUUCAACCAGGAAUAAUCACAGUCACCGGAGGUAUAUUGUAUUACGAUCCAAAUAAGGAUCGUGAAGAACUAGCUAAAAUN